GCUCCCUGCAUUAAUAAAACCCAGGUUAUGUGCUCCUUCUCUUUCUUGCCUUCCUUGCCCCCCUUGUGGGAGCUGCGGCUGAGGAAUGGUCACUGAACCCAAAGAAAAAGAUCUGUAUCAACUCUCCAGCUCUGUGUCAGCACAUGGCCUGCAUAUUUGAAGUAACAUAUAUCUCACUGGGGUGAACUACUGACUCUUUCACCAAGUAACUGAAAAAUGAAAAGUUUUAUCCACAGUUCAUUCACAAAAUAUUUAUGACUCAAGAAUGUGCUUGUAUAUGGACCUCUACUGAAUUCAUCCAGUCUGAAAACUAUGACAUUCUCCAUCUUUAUAAUUUUACCAGUGAAUGAAAAUUAAACAAAUGGAGUCAUAUAGUA